UAUUAAGUAACUUAAAAAGUAAUAAUUUUUUAAAUUAUAAAUGAUAUUAAAUAUUAUAUCCUUAAUUA
rnacentral:tRNA from 1 species